GGAGUUAGCCGGUGCUUCUUCUGCGAGUAACGUCACAGAUGUAAGGUAUUAACUUACACCCUUUCCUCCUCGCUGAAAGUGCUUUACAACCCGAAGGCCUUCUUCACACACGCGGCAUGGCUGCAUCAGGGUUUCCCCCAUUGUGCAAUAUUCCCCACUGCUGCCUCCCGUAGGAGUCUGGGCCGUGUCUCAGUCCCAGUGUGGCUGAUCAUCCUCUCAGACCAGCUAGGGAUCGUCGCCUAGGUGAGCCUUUACCUCACCUACUAGCUAAUCCCACCUGGGCUUAUCCAUCAGCGCAAGGCCCGAAGGUCCCCUGCUUUCCCCCGUAGGGCGUAUGCGGUAUUAGCAGUCGUUUCCAACUGUUAUCCCCCACAAAUGGGCAAAUUCCCAGGCAUUACUCACCCGUCCGCCGCUCGUCAUCUUCAAAAGCAAAGCUUUUGAAAUGUUACCGCUCGACUUGCAUGUGUUAGGCCUGCCGCCAGCGUUCAAUCUGAGCCAUGAUCAAAACUCUGA
rnacentral:rRNA from 1 species